rnacentral:lncRNA from 1 species
UGUCAAAAUUUAAGUGGGGGACACAAGAAGGACAGAAAAUUUGGAGACAGGAGAUCUGCUCUCUUUAUUCUAAAUAGAAGAUACUAAAACCACGUUGAAAAAGAGGUUGAUGUUUUUAAACAAAGUUAAUUUACUAAUCUAAUGAUUCAGAAUAUAAUUGUAUAGUGUGCGUAAAAAUUACUACUCCUUCCAUCCCAAAAUAAUAGACUUCACAAAGAUUAAGAAUAGUUAUAAUUUUAUUAUUUUACCCUUAAUUAAUAUUGUGUCUUCUUCAUCUCUUCGGCCUUCUCUCUGUCUUUUUCUCUUCUUCCACCUCCCUUGCCGUCACCAUGACCGACACUCCUUCCGAGCACCAGUAUCUUUUUACAUUAAUUCAACUAACAAAUAUUGUUGCAGACGACCAUCCUUUCAAUUCCUAUUUGUCCCUGGAUGUUCUGACUUGGCAUAUUACUAAUAAUCGCCUUUUCUCCGUUAAGACAGCACAGCUUAUUGGGCGACAAUCUCAGCAGGAGAGUCGAUAAAUUCUUGAACCGCAACACCAUCUGGCCUCGCAUUUGGAAUAUUAAUACUCUGAUAAAAGUUCGCACUUCUAAUGUACUCCCUGUUUCGUGGACCAUCUCGAUGAAACUGUUCUCCUCCAUACCAAUUGGGUCAUCAGUUCCACCCUUUUCUUUGCAACUCACACCAGCUGCUCCCCUUCUUCUUCUUCUUCUAAUUUGGGCUUCAUCCCAUGAUAUGCGAAGUUGCCUUUGAUUCUAGAUAAUUUGAUUUAAUUAGGGUUCCGUUGGUAAUGAUUUGGGAUAAUCGCAGAUCUGAUAGAUUAGGAUUUAGGCGAUGUUUUUAUUUUUCAAAAAAAACAGAGGAGAGAAAAAGAAAGAUGAAGACGCCGGUUUUCUCCGUGCUCUGAUAAUAGUGGUGGAGAAGGAAGAGUAGAGAGGAAAAAUAAAUGUCAAAAUAUUUUUGGGAUUGUAGAAGGUCAGAUAAUUUGGGGAAAAAAAAUACCCUAAAACGUCUACUACCUCCGUCCCAUAAUAAGUGUUUUUUUAAUUUAAAUCACACAUAGCAAUACAUAAGCUAAAAUGACAAAAAUAUCCUUAAUAGACUUUCUUUGAAAUUGAAGAGUUAAUGAGUGUCAUUUAAUUGUAGUGAGUAAUGGAAGAAACGAAGAGUCAAGAAUAAUGGAGGAUAUAUAUGAAAAAAUAUUAUAAAAUUUGUAUUGAAAUUCUAACACAUCACUUAUUUUAGAAAAAAAUAUUAAACCUAAAAAAAUAUUUAUUGUGGGAGGGAGGUAGUAUUAUUUUGGGAUAGAGUAGUAUACAUACGCAUUGGAAUGGUAAAUAUUGCACUGAAAAUAUUAUCUCCCUAAAAUUUGAGAAAAGGGUUGCUGAACUUUGCAUUUAUUGACAAUAAAAAGUCAAUAUUUUGAAAAGAAGUGAAAAAAAAAUACCUAGGCUCGAGAAAUAAAUAAAAAAAU